GGUGCAAGCAAAAUUUCAGACUUUGUGCAUCGCAGUGCACUCUGGCAUGCAGACCCAACACAGUCGCAGCUGUGGAUUCCGUUUCCCCACAUGUUAUAUACCAACAUCUUCUGUAUAUAGGUUUGAAGCCAAUGUUGCUUCCCAGGUAGGUACGCUCGCUUUGGAUCUCUCUGCUCGAGGGCACUGUGUUAUGUGUUGUGCCUAGUGUCCUUUUGUGUUGGUUCGGUGCGGGUGGA